GACGAACGCUGGCGGCGUGCUUAACACAUGCAAGUCGAACGGUGAAGCGCCUUCCUUUUUGGUGGGUGUGGAUGAGUGGCGAACGGGUGAGUAACACGUGAGUAACCUGCCCCCUUCUUCUGGAUAACCGCAUGAAAGUGUGGCUAAUACGGGAUAUUCUGGGUCUGUCGCAUGAUGGGUCUGGGAAAGAUAUUGUUUCGGUGGGGGAUGGGCUCGCGGCCUAUCAGCUUGUUGGUGGGGUGAUGGCCUACCAAGGCGGUGACGGGUAGCCGGCCUGAGAGGGUGGACGGUCACACGGGGACUGAGACACGGCCCAGACUCCUACGGGAGGCAGCAGUGGGGAAUAUUGCACAAUGGGCGCAAGCCUGAUGCAGCGACGCCGCGUGAGGGAUGGAGGCCUUCGGGUUGUGAACCUCUUUCGCCAGUGAAGCAGGCCUGCCUCGUUUGUGGGUGGCUUGACGGUAGCUGGAUAAGAAGCGCCGGCUAACUACGUG
rnacentral:rRNA from 1 species